GAAAUCUUACUGUCUGAUAGUCUGAAAAAGAAGUUUGAUUCAUCUGGAUCUCCCCAAGCCUCUUCAUAUCAUCAAGUUAUUAGAAAAAAUGUUUGAAUGAUGAAGGACCUUCACCUUCCAGGUGUUCUCUUGCUCAGCAAAAUAAAUAAGAUACAUACAUAGUGCCUAUGGGGUACUAUAACAUAUCUCAAGUUUCAGCAGAACCACAGUAUGUUGGCCAGAAGUGGAGGAUCUCAGCCUUUUCAUUAUUCCUGAAGAAUAUGUACACUGCCUGUAUUUCUUUAAAGGUGAAUGUCUACUGUAUAAAAAUCCUUGGAUGUAUUUUUCAAGCAGAAGAAAAUGUGUUCUUUUACUCUUAUAAAACAAGUAAACACUAUGAGUUACUGUUUAUUAUUGAGAUCGCCUGCAGAAGAAAGACUACUCACAAAACAGAGAAAUAA
rnacentral:lncRNA from 1 species